UCUCAAAUCACUUUUAAUUAAUCCAGAUCCUGCAAGAUAAAUCCCAUUACAGCUGACACUUUCUAUUUUAUCCCAUGCCUUGUAUGAUAUAUUUCUACUAAUAAUGUUUCUGACAUUUCCUCUUUGAAUUCAUAGUUUUUUCCUUAAGUGAAAAACAGCCUCCUGUUUGUGGUCUAGAUCUUCCCAUUAUCAUGAACUUAUCACAUUAUUAAAAUCUUCAGUUGAUUGUUUGUAAUUGUUUGUAAAAUACUGGGGUUCAAAGGAAUGGCUGACAAGAUUUUAGUACCAGAUCUGAUACAGUCUUCUAAUGGGUCAACAGGGACACACAGGAUUUUCCUGAACUAAUUUUAUCUAUGCCUAAUCAUUGCAAAAAGUUGUUUCCAUAGGCUUUACCUCACUCAUACUAAAUAAGUAAUUAAAAUGGAAAGAGCCAUUUGAACAUGUCUGCAUUAACUAAAAAGAAAAUUUCAGACACAAUAUUAGCUAUAUAUGGUAUAAGCAAGCAUUCUGCUUACACAGCUGGAGUUAGAAGAGGUGAAUUAUACCUGCAGUGUCUAGAUGAAUACUAACAACAUUAAAUCUUCGAGUGAGGAACUGUUCACCAACUACAUAAAAAGCCAGAAACGUAAGUCUUAGCACCAGAUAUGUUGCAAUGGCUGGACUUUGUCACUGGUAGCAAUUAAUUUUGUUCUUCCUAAUUUCUGAAACAGUAAGGCGUCAGCCAUAUGAAUUGACAAAAAAAAAAUUAGAGGCAAGAAUGUUAAUUUAAAGGAAUAAAAUGAGCCUAUAUAAAAGACACUUGACACUUGACUCUGUAUGAGAACAACCUAAAAUUUGUCUUUACUCUUAAAACAAAAAUACCAUCAAUGACCUUGAUUAAAAAUGGUGAUUUGGAGCUCUCAGAGCUUUGAAGAAAAAUGGAGUUUCAUAUGAGAAUGGAUGUCAUAUUACAAACACAUAACACAUAUUUUCUUCUGCUGUUAUUUACAUUGUACUGAUCAUCCAUAGGCCAGCCAUCUGUGAUGUAAGCAAUACUAUUCAGAUCACUGAAUAAGAUUCCAAUUAUUUUUCUGUGCAGAAUGUUUCUAGAGUUUCUUAUAAUCACACUGAAUAUUCUCACUGGGGUGUGGGUUUAUUACCCUGACAUACACUUUGCUUUCUGAAAUCUUAGAAGAGUAAAACAAAAUGGCAAAUCUCCACACAAACAUGAAAUAACAGAACACACAAAAGUAAGUAACUAUGACUGAUAAAAUUCUGCACAUCAUUCCCACUAAUAUUUUCCAUACUGUGCUAUGAAAUGAAGUAUUUUUCAUUUAAUUUACCAAUCAAUAGAAAAAAUUCAGACCUCUGUAAAGCAGAGUGAAAUUGGAUUUUGAUGAAGAAUGAUGCAGAGAACAAUGCUAGUUGUUAGCUUUGAGGGAAAAUAAAUUAAUUACUUUUAUUCAGAAAGAUAGUAAUAAAAGUCUUCAAGAACAUCAGCUGCCUAAACUUCCAGUCAUAGAUUUGAAGUGAGUUUAAAAGCUUUACUAAGGCAGAGAUUGAAGAAGGUCCAGAGAGCGAAUUGUCAGCAUUAUGUACAGUUCUUUCAUCUUCACAUUAAAAAUUUAUUGCAUUUACAAGCCAUGUGGUUUGAAAGUAUCUUUUCAUGGCUGAUUAAACUUUAUUUAUUCUAAGAGGGAUAAGUGUCCAGUGACUCGAUGAAAAUUAAUUAACUUACUAAUUUUAUUAAGGUGGAAUUUGGAGACAAGUUAAUUGUGAAAAGAAAAAAAUAUGCUGACAGCGAUGUUGAGACUGUAACUGGAACUCCUACCGUGGCUCUGGCAGGAGGACAGUGUGGGUGGUGCCUCCUUCUCCUGAGCAUUCCCACUGUUCCGUGGCCACAGAGGGGAUGCAGAUGCAGCAGGAGCCAGGACACUCAGCACUGAUUGCUCCACACCUUGUCCUUCUCACUUGUGCCUGCAGAGGAAGCCUCAAGGAAGCAGCACCCUUCCACAGCUCCCACAAGUCUCCCUGAAGCAGCUGGAUUUAUCCAUCACAGCAUAAGGCAUAUGUACUUCCCCAUCUCCUGAUGGCUGGCUCUGCACAUGGCAAGUCACUUUUUCUAGCAUUCUUACCACACCAGGCUCUUGCUUUGAACUAAUAGAUUAAAUAAGAGCUUUGUGUGUUCAAGCAUUUUGCUGAAAAAUAUCUUAAAUAUUGUUUCCCUGGGACAUGUUCUGAUUAGUGACUGCUUGUGAUUCUCAGCUGAUUUAUUAUUUAUACUACACCUUCAGCAUGCAAUAGUAGCACACAAAUAUUUUGUUCUUAUUUGAACACCUGUUUAACCUCUUACAUUACUGUAAACUUGAAUGUUGCAAUGAAAUAAAGGAAAACAAAAAGACACGAAGUAGAUGACAUCUUGGGAUAACAAUUCUGCAGCACUGAAUGUAGAACAGAGCUCUUGAUACACUGUCCUAAGGACCAUGUCAACACCAAUAAAAAUAAAUGGGACAUUGAACUGUUGCAUGGACUAACGUCACUGAAUCACCUCUCCCAGGUUAUCCCUUGGAAAAAAGCUUUGUUUUCCCUGGAGAUGGAAUAUGGAACAGGAGUCCUGUCAAUCCAUCCCAUUAUUAUUUGAACUGAAAAAGAUUUUCUUAAUUUCUACAUUCUUCUAAAAAAUUUAUAUAUCUUACUGGCUUCUUUUUCUAAAAAAAGAAGUGAAACACUGAGAACCUACACAUUUUUGGCAAAGCAUAGAGUGUUGCCAAGAGAAAACAAGUAAAAAUUAACCACUGUACCCUUCAACCUGUUAACAGUCAGGGCUGAAGUACUGCAUUGCUUCAGUGAUUUCUGCACAACAGAGCUUUUCUUUCCAGGAGGAACAGCUUUGGCAGACAAACUCACUACCUUUUCCCUGCUCUGUGUGACCUUUGGCAGCUGGGAGAGUGAGAGGCCUGAUACAAGGAUGGAUUAAUACAUGUAGAAUCUAAAGAGAGAUGUAGAUUGAUGAGUGAGAUAUAAACUAAGAGCCUAUCUGUUUUCUGCUUGGAAGCAGAGAGAAAAAAGUCAGUGUGGAAACCAGUAUGUUUCUUCUAUAUACUUCAGUCUUGGGUGUCUCUUUUACCUGUGCUCCAAUCAAACACAGAAACUUGAAGUCCAGACUGCUGAAGUGCCAUCCAUCCUGGACAAAGGAACAUUAUAUAAGAUGGUAUCAAGAGCCAUACUGAGGACACAUGCACUGGCUGUUUAUCCCUGUCCACAAGGUCUGAGCCUCUGCCACCACAGGGAAUGUGAUUGCCUUAGCAGGAUUUCUUCUGGGUAGUUUCAAGACCUUUCUCCAAACAAUUGUGUUCUCCUGAGAAAAACUGUUAUUUGUGAGAGCCAGAUUUCAAAUAGCCAGCUGGCUGCCACUCCACAGGAAGCAGAAGAAAAGAGAAGCAGCAAGUGAAGGCUCAAAAGGUCUCAUCUGUCUGAUAAUACCCUCUUGACUUGUCUCCCCUGGCAAGGUGGAAACUGAAGUUGGAUUUGGGUCACUUCUUCAGCACCCAGUACUUCCACUCAACUGUCUAAUAUUUUGUUGAUUUCCACUUCUCCAUGCACUGAAUUCCUUGUUCACAAUUUCUAGACCAUCUACUACAGUUCAGUGUUCACAGCUACAAGAGGGAUGACAUCUCCCACUUAAGGAAGAAGAACCUACUGCAAUCACAUUGCCUUUCUUUCUACUUUCUCACAUAAGUGCCAAAAUGAUGGCUGGAGACAAUUCAUGUAUUACCAAGCAUUCCUGGCAAGAGCUCCUGCAGCUGCAGCCCAGCACAAAUUCACAGUGACAUUUCUGCAGUCCCAGAACAGAAUAAAGUUUCCAUUGUUUUCCUGUGAUGUAAAAAUGCUUCACACUGUCUUCAUAUGAAGAUAUUAAGAAUCUGAACUACACCAUAGGUCUCACUACUGACCUGCUGGAGUAAUCUGAUCAUAUCAUAACCCCAUGCAAAAUUAUUUUACUAAUGUGUCAAAAAUGAUUUGACCCAUGGAAUGUUUCUAAGCUUAAUUCAUGUGCUAUGAAUUUCUGAAAUUAUAAGUGCUAUACAAGAGUUCAGAAUUGUUUACAAAAGACUCAGAGCAAAACUCUAAUUUAAAAAAACAUUUUCUGAAAUCUGAUGCUGCAGAAUUUAGAAUAAAUUAUGGUAAUCUGUGAGUUUUAAAACUCAAUUUCCCUAAAGAAUUUCCAUCAUAAAUGAUAUUUAAACGUAUGAGGUGGCCAUGAAGAUUCAUGUAACCAGUCAAGGAGAUAAUUUUAAUCACUCUAACACACAAGGAUCAAAAAAUACUAUAUUUUUGUCAAUAGCCCACAGAAAUCCUUCCUAGUUAGACUUCUGUCUCACUUCCUCUCUCAUGGGAUUCAAAUGUAUGAACAAAAUUCCCUUCAACUCAAUGAAAUUGUAGAGAUGAAAAUUACCUACAGGUUUUUCAAAACCAAAUAUAAGAAUUUAUUAUUAUUAUUAUUAUUAUUAUUAUCAUCAUCAUCAUCAUCAUUAACAUUAACAUCAUUAACAUCAUUAUCAUCAUUAUCAUUAUCAUUAUUAUCAUUAUUAUCAUCAUUAUCAUUAUUAUCAUUAUUAUCAUUAUUAGUGUUGUUUCUAUUGUUGCUGUUGUUGUUAUCAUUAUUUUUAUUAUUAUUGAAAUGUAAUAGCUAUUGUGAGGAAUCUGAUAGCAUCACAGAGGAAAUUUUGUAUAAGAAAUGAAAGCA